AUCACUUCCUGUCCUUUGGCUAAGGUGAAGUGUGAUAUCUGUUCUUAUCAGUUUAAUACAUCCUUUGUAUGAGGAUAACAUUGUAAAAAUGGACUUUUGGAUCUGGGAGAUAGAAUGAGAGCUUGCACUGUCCACUCCAUGCAGCAAUCUGGUAUUGCAGCACCUCCGGGAAUGGUCACCCCUC
ensembl:snRNA U2 U2 spliceosomal RNA